CACGUAGGGGGCGAGCGUUGUCCGGAUUUAUUGGGCGUAAAGAGCUCGUAGGCGGUUUCGUAAGUCGGAUGUGAAAACUCCAGGCUCAACUUGGAGACGCCAUUCGAUACUGCGAUGACUUGAGUCCGGUAGGGGAGUGUGGAAUUCCUGGUGUAGCGGUGAAAUUCGCAGAUAUCAGGAGGAACACCGAUGGCGAAGGCAGCUCGCUGGGACGGUACUGACGCUGAGGCGCGAAAGCGUGGGGAGCGAACAGG
rnacentral:rRNA from 1 species